rnacentral:rRNA from 1 species
GAUGAACGCUGGCGGCGUGCCUAAUACAUGCAAGUCGAGCGAACGGACGAGAAGCUUGCUUCUCUGAUGUUAGCGGCGGACGGGUGAGUAACACGUGGAUAACCUACCUAUAAGACUGGGAUAACUUCGGGAAACCGGAGCUAAUACCGGAUAAUAUUUUGAACCGCAUGGUUCAAAAGUGAAAGACGGUCUUGCUGUCACUUAUAGAUGGAUCCGCGCUGCAUUAGCUAGUUGGUAAGGUAACGGCUUACCAAGGCAACGAUGCAUAGCCGACCUGAGAGGGUGAUCGGCCAAACUGGAACUGAGAAACCGUCCAGACUCCUACGGGAGGGAACAGUAGGGAAUCUUCCGCAAUGGGCGAAAGCCUGACGGAGCAACGCCGCGUGAGUGAUGAAGGUCUUCGGAUCGUAAAACUCUGUUAUUAGGGAAGAACAUAUGUGUAAGUAACUGUGCACAGCUUGACGGUAACUAAUCAGAAAGCCACGGCUAACUACGUG